rnacentral:rRNA from 1 species
UCAAGUGAAUAAGUGCACACGGUGGAUGCCUUGGCGACAACAGGCGAAGAAGGACGUGGAAAUCUGCGAAAAGCCCCGGGAAGCUGAUAACAAGCAAUGAUCCGGGGAUCUCCGAAUGGGGCAACCCGACCUUAGGGUCAUCCGUAGUUGAAUACAUAGACUGCGGAAGCGAACCGGGAGAACUGAAACAUCUAAGUACCCCGAGGAAAAGAAAUCAACCGAGAUUCCGCAAGUAGCGGCGAGCGAACGCGGAUUAGCCCAAUUAAGUUGCGCAUGAGUUAGCAGAACACUCUGGAAAGGGUGGCCAUAGAAGGUGAUAGCCCGGUAUGUGAAAGCCAUGCGUAAUGAAUCGAGUAGGGCGGGACACGUGAAAUCCUGUCUGAAGAUGGGGGGACCAUCCUCCAAGGCUAAAUACUCGUUGUCGACCGAUAGUGAACCAGUACCGUGAGGGAAAGGCGAAAAGAACCCUGGUGAAGGGAGUGAAAUAGAACCUGAAACCGUGUGCAUACAAGCAGUCAGAGCAUAUGAAGAUAUGUGAUGGCGUACCUUUUGUAUAAUGGGUCAGCGAGUUACAUUCAGUGGCGAGGUUAACCGAAUAGGGGAGCCGUAGCGAAAGCGAGUCUUAAUAGGGCGAUAAGUCUCUGGGUGUAGACCCGAAACCGGGCGAUCUAUCCAUGGGCAGGUUGAAGGUUGAGUAACAUCAACUGGAGGACCGAACCCACGCAUGUUGAAAAAUGCGGGGAUGACCUGUGGAUAGGAGUGAAAGGCUAAACAAGCUCGGAGAUAGCUGGUUCUCCCCGAAAACUAUUGAGGUAGUGCCUUGUAGAUUGACUUACGGGGGUAGAGCACUGUUUCGGCUAGGGGGUCAUACCGACUUACCAACCCGAUGCAAACUCCGAAUACCGUGAAGUAUUACUACAGGAGACACACGGCGGGUGCUAACGUCCGUCGUGAAAAGGGAAACAACCCAGACCGCCAGCUAAGGUCCCUAAAUGACAGUUAAGUGGGAAACGAAGUGGGAAGGCUUAGACAGCUAGGAGGUUGGCUUAGAAGCAGCCAUCCUUUAAAGAAAGCGUAAUAGCUCACUAGUCGAGUCGUCCUGCGCGGAAGAUUUACCGGGGCUAAACUGUCUACCGAAGCUGCGGAUUUGCAUGAAGAUGCAAGUGGUAGGGGAGCGUUGUGUAAGCCGAAGAAGGUGUGUUGAGAAGCAUGCUGGAGGUAUCACAAGUGCGAAUGCUGACAUGAGUAACGAUAAUGCGGGUGAAAAACCCGCACACCGAAAACCCAAGGUUUCCUGCGCAACGCUAAUCGGCGCAGGGUGAGUCGGCCCCUAAGGCGAGGCGGAAACGCGUAGUCGAUGGGAAACAGGUUAAUAUUCCUGUACUGAUCAUAAUUGCGAUGGGGGGACGGAGAAAGCUAGGCCAGCACACUGUUGGAUGUGUGUUUAAGCGCGUAGGUUGGGGACUUAGGCAAAUCCGGGUUCCUAAGACUGAAACGUGAUGACGAGUUUCUACGGAAACGAAGUGGUUGAUGCUCUGCUUCCAGGAAAAGCCUCUAAGCUUCAGAUUAUGACAACCGUACCCCAAACCGACACAGGUGGGUAGGAAGAGAAUUCCAAGGUGCUUGAGAGAACUCGGGUAAAGGAACUCGGCAAAAUGAUACCGUAACUUCGGGAUAAGGUAUGCCUCUGAUGGUGAAUAGCUGUUGGAGGCCGCAGAGAAUAGGCCGCUGCGACUGUUUAUCAAAAACACAGCACUCUGCAAACACGCAAGUGGACGUAUAGGGUGUGACGCCUGCCCGGUGCCGGAAGGUUAAUUGAUGGGGUGCAAGCUCUUGAUCGAAGCCCCGGUAAACGGCGGCCGUAACUAUAACGGUCCUAAGGUAGCGAAAUUCCUUGUCGGGUAAGUUCCGACC